UACAGGUGAGAAUGCAAGAAAACUGCAACGGAAUGCGACGAAACUUCACAGGGAGCAGGGAGACAGGUGAGAAUGCAAGAAAACUGCAACGGAAUGCGACGAAACUUCACAGGGAGCAGGGAGACAGGUGAGAAUGCAAGAAAACUGCAACGGAAUGCGACGAAACUUCACAGGGAGCAGGGAGACAGGUGAGAAUGCAAGAAAACUGCAACGGAAUGCGACGAAACUUCACAGGGAGCAGGGAGACAGG